ACUGUCUGUUUUGUCGUGCUCUAUCGAAUGACCUUUGAGGCGCUAAAAGUUAUGAUGAAUAUUGCCUUCCACUUUUUACGAACAAGAACGUUCAGUUAUAGCCAUAUCUCUUCUAUCAAUUAACCAUUUUUCUAUAUAAACGUAUUACAGCGCUUCACUUCUAAGUUGCUCAAUCCUAAAUGAGCUAGAGCUAAAGCACCAUUUAUAGACAUAGAUAACAAAGCUGAAGUUCGCCAACACCGACCGCGUCAGCUAGAUUUAGCUGAGGUUCUUUAUAAGGCCUUAUCUGCUUAGGCUGAUAUUUCGUGCUGCUUGUAUGGUCAACGUUACAACUAGUGAAAGUUUCAUUUAUGUGCUCUUUUAAAGAUGUCACAUAAAUAGCUUCGUAUUCCCAUAAAUGCUCUGUGCUCUCUCGUUGCUAUUCGCGAUAACUGUCAACUACAACCAUAUGUACAUCUAUGUAUUGGACAUCCGUUUUGACAUUUUUGCGUUAAUAUUCGAGCAGUGAGCCAGUCGGAUGCCAUAGAUGCACUGGCGGGGCUGUGCAAACGUCGUUGAGAUGGUUCUUCAAGGUGUGGCCAACGUACAAUUUCUCAUCUGGCAACUUUUACCCGAGCAACGUAAAGAUCACAGUCGCCCCCGUACCUUCCAAAAGUUCCUGCGCCCAUUUGCGCAGGCAGAUUACUGCCAUGGAUGGUUACAACGCAAUCUUCAAACCGUUAAUCUCUCAAAAGAUCUGCUGUAUUAGAUACUAAAUUUAUAAUAAUAAAUGAAGUAUUAUAUAUGUUAUAAUUCUGUGAUUUUUCUAUAGACGUAAUAUCAAUUUAUGUUUUAUACUAUCUUCGCCACCAAAAUGCCAAAAAACCAAGAUACAGACGCUGGAACGGACCUGGAGAAGCAACGAGAGCAGUAUAUACUUAAACAGCAGGUAUCUACUUAUAGGCCAGUAACUGAAA